rnacentral:pre_miRNA from 1 species
UUUCUAGUCUAAGUGUGUCGCAUGCAAUAUUUGGGACAUACUUACACUAAAA